rnacentral:lncRNA from 1 species
UUCAAGGCCCAUGGGCCAGUCCGGCCCGGCCCACAGCCCAUAAAGGGCUGGGUUGGACUAGCUAUAUUGUGUCCUAUUUUUUGGCUGGGCUUAGUUCGGUCAAGCCCAUCAAAUUUUAGACCUUUGUGGGUCGGGUUGGACUGGGCCGGGCCAGUCAUUUUGACAGUACUAAUUGAAAUUAAUGGUCUCGAACUACUGCUACC